UAUGGUGCAUCACCAAUCUUUGAACUUUGAAACGUUUAAAACUAAACAAGAAACAGCAAAAUGUAAAUGUUCAGAACGACUUCAAUUAUAAACGGUUAUGGCUGAAAUAUUGGCUGUCAUUUUCCUCUUGUCACAGCUACAAAUAAGUGUCUCCCAAAGUCUGGAUACGAGAAUCGGCGAUGGUAAAUGUGCACAGGGUGGAUUGGAAGAUUCUAUGCUGUCAUUAAAAAUGUAUAUAGACUCCCAACUACAAGAGUUGGAGCAAAAAGUGAAAAAAAGAACACAGAGAGAGAUUGCAAAAUCUUCAAACACAGAUAAACAACUUAAAAGAUUGUCCGAAAGGAUGGGAUAAGCAUGGGACUUCGUGCUACAUGCUAAACACACAGAAGUUUUCAUGGGAACAGGCAAAUGCUAAAUGUCGUGGAUUUUCAGCUAUGUUGGUUGAAAUAGAUACAAUGCCCGAGAACGUCUUCGUGGCAAACACCUUAAAAAAUAAAGAUCCCAGUGGCCGUGCCUGGUUGGGUGGUACGGAUAAAACACAGGAAAACACCUGGAUUUGGAAACACUCAGGGUUACCAUUGCGAUUCACAAACUGGAACAAGGGGGAACCUAAUGAUGAUAAAGAAAACGAAGAUUGCAUGGAAAUACUUUCCCGAAAUGGCAUGUGGAAUGAUAUGCCGUGUUCUUAUUUGUCUAUGUUUGUCUGUGAAAAAGAAUUUUAAUA